rnacentral:rRNA from 1 species
GGUGAAAAGCACCCCGGAAGGGGAGUGAAAUAGAACCUGAAACCGUGUGCUUACAAGUAGUCAGAGCCCGUUAAUGGGUGAUGGCGUGCCUUUUGUAGAAUGAACCGGCGAGUUACGAUUUGAUGCAAGGUUAAGCAGUAAAUGUGGAGCCGUAGCGAAAGCGAGUCUGAAUAGGGCGUUUAGUAUUUGGUCGUAGACCCGAAACCAGGUGAUCUACCCUUGGUCAGGUUGAAGUUCAGGUAACACUGAAUGGAGGACCGAACCGACUUACGUUGAAAAGUGAGCGGAUGAACUGAGGGUAGCGGAGAAAUUCCAAUCGAACCUGGAGAUAGCUGGUUCUCUCCGAAAUAGCUUUAGGGCUAGCCUCAAGUGAUGAUUAUUGGAGGUAGAGCACUGUUUGGACGAGGGGCCCCUCUCGGGUUACCGAAUUCAGACAAACUCCGAAUGCCAAUUAAUUUAACUUGGGAGUCAGAACAUGGGUGAUAAGGUCCGUGUUCGAAAGGGAAACAGCCCAGACCACCAGCUAAGGUCCCAAAAUAUAUGUUAAGUGGAAAAGGAUGUGGCGUUGCCCAGACAACUAGGAUGUUGGCUUAGAAGCAGCCAUCAUUUAAAGAGUGCGUAAUAGCUCACUAGUCGAGUGACACUGCGCCGAAAAUGUACCGGGGCUAAACAUAUUACCGAAGCUGUGGAUUGUCCUUUGGACAAUGGUAGGAGAGCGUUCUAAGGGCGUUGAAGCAUGAUCGUAAGGACAUGUGGAGCGCUUAGAAGUGAGAAUGCCGGUGUGAGUAGCGAAAGACGGGUGAGAAUCCCGUCCACCGAUUGACUAAGGUUUCCAGAGGAAGGCUCGUCCGCUCUGGGUUA